CGCGUGCAGGAAGACUGCCCUAUGGGUUGUAAACUGCUUUUACAGAGGAAGAACCCUCCCCACGUGUGGGGAGUUGACGGUACUCUGCGAAUAAGGAUCGGCUAACUCCGUGCCAGCAGCCGCGGUAAUACGGAGGAUCCAAGCGUUAUCCGGAAUCAUUGGGUUUAAAGGGUCCGUAGGCGGGUUUAUAAGUCAGUGGUGAAAGUCUGCAGCUUAACUGUAGAACUGCCAUUGAUACUGUAGAUCUUGAAUCAUUAUGAAGUGGUUAGAAUGUGUAGUGUAGCGGUGAAAUGCAUAGAUAUUACACAGAAUACCGAUUGCGAAGGCAGAUCACUAAUAAUGUAUUGACGCUGAUGGACGAAAGCGUAGGUAGCGAACAGGAUUAGAUACCCUGGUAGUCUACGCCGUAAACGAUGGUUACUAGCUGUCCGGCCUAAUUGAGGGCUGGGUGGUUAAGCGAAAGUGAUAAGUAACCCACCUGGGGAGUACGUUCGCAAGAAUGAAACUCA
rnacentral:rRNA from 1 species